GGACUCGUGGUCUAGCGGUUAUGACAUCACCUUGACGUGGUGAGAAUCGCCGGUUCGAUCCCGGCCGGGUCCA
rnacentral:tRNA from 1 species